rnacentral:lncRNA from 1 species
CUCAGUUGGUAAAGAAUCUGCUUGCAAUGCAGGAGACCCUGGUUUGAUUCCUGGGGGGAGAAGAUCCGCUGAAGAAGGGAUAAGCUACCCACUCCAAUAUUCUUGGGCUUCCCUUGUGGCUCAGCUGGUAAAGAAUCCACCCUGCAAUGUGGGAGACAUGGGUCCUCUUCUUACUAUUUUAUCCUAAAGGAAGGGCCAAGAGAUAUAAAAAUGUCAAACUCCAGGAGUUUCUACAUGUUCUCAUCAGUGUGGUGAGAGGUGAGCCAAGACUGAUGGCACAGUCCGCCUCAGGUCUGCAUUUAUGUAUAGAGCACAAAAUGGUAGAUGGAUUGAUGGAUAAGAUCAGAAUUCAUAAUAAUGGGAAAGAGAAAUGGAUUGAGAAUCAGAAAGCCUGGGCACUUUUAGCUGAGAAAAAAAGACAAUUGCCUACAUAGAAUCCAGAGUUUCAUCUUCCACUCAAUUCAGUAACUCAAAGGGAGUAAAAGUGAGUGAUACAACAAAUCUCUUUUGGUGUGAGAAAUUUGUAAAUGGAUCUUUAUGUAGACAAAGAUAAAAAAAAGUUGUAGAUUUUUUUUCCAAUUAUAAUUCAGAAAACUUGGAAAACACAGAACUUUAUUUUAAAAAACAGUACUAAAAUACCAUCACUCAGGGAUAACCACUAUUAACAAUUUUUGGAGAUAUUCCAGGGAUUUUAAAAAUAUUUACAUGCACAUUCUCCUAUGAUUAUGGAAUACUGUUUUAUAAUCUGAUGCUUUCACUUCGUGAUGUAAAUAUUAUCCCUUUUACAUAACUAUUUUUUACUCUAAAACUGCUAAUGGUUUUGCUGUAAUAUAUCAUAAAUAUUCCACAAUUUAUUUAAUUAAGUCUCUAUUGUUGGAUAUCCAGGUUGUUCCUAACUUUUCAGACUAAUAAAAAUAUUUACAAACAUUGCUAUACA